UGCUGACCUCUGCGAAUAGAAAGCAUUUCUCUGAUGGCAGAGAAGUGAAGGCGAGAUAGCCAAGUCACUGCUGCCGCUGAGUGCACCCGCGGGACACCUGCACUGACCCACUCAGGUGCCUGAGAGGUGGAGACAGCAGGCUGGCGAGUCUGACGGAAGAGACGCUCUGGAAAACUCAAAUAGAGAGAGAGAGAGCACGCACAUGCAC